rnacentral:rRNA from 1 species
GAUGAACGCUGGCGGCGUGCCUAAUACAUGCAAGUCGAGCGAACGGACGAGAAGCUUGCUUCUCUGAUGUUAGCGGCGGACGGGUGAGUAACACGUGGAUAACCUACCUAUAAGACUGGGAUAACUUCGGGAAACCGGAGCUAAUACCGGAUGAUAUUUUGAACCGCAUGGUUCAAAAGUGAAAGACGGUCUUGCUGUCACUUAUAGAUGGAUCCGCGCUUCAUUAGCUAGUUGGUAAGGUAACGGCUUACCAAGGCAACGAUGCAUAGCCGACCUGAGAGGGUGAGCGGCCACACUGGAACUGAGACACGGUCCAGACUCCUACGGGAGGCAGCAGUAGGGAAUCUUCCGCAAUGGGCGAAAGCCGGACGGAGCAACGCCGCGUGAGUGAUGAAGGUCUUCGGAUCGUAAAACUCUGUUAUUAGGGAAGAACAUAAGUGUAAGUAACUGUGCACAUCUUGACGGUACCUAAUCAGAAAGCCACGGCUAACUACGGG